UCUUCCUGCUUAGAUACUUCCAUCUCAGAUUUUUUUUCUGACGAUGAACUGGUCUGAUCGAUUCAGAUUCCUUCGCGCGCUCAUCUACACUGGACUGAUCGAUCCGGCUUCACAUCGGUUGGAGGAUGACGACGCUCGCUCAGCGAAAUGUGAAGUUCAGAUCGCAGAGGAAUGGCUCGAGAAGCUCUCUCCGCGUACGUACGUACGACGAGGAGUACGUGCUGAAGCGUAAGUUGAGAUCUCGUGUCCUGAACAGGCACUCACGUGUUGGCUGCCAAGUUGUGUUAAGGCAGGAAUUCCAAGGAAUGGUCGUCGCUGGCCCUGAAGCCAAGCCGUGGGACAUUGCAGUUUCAUGUUGUGUGUGUUGACUUGUGGUUAACCUCAUGGAGAACUUUCUGUCCAGUGUGCAAACAGGACAAAAAAAAACUAGCAAUGGCGAGCCACUAGCUUCAGAGAGCACCCCAUUGCUCUCUACCGCUGCGUCUUCUUUCCACUCUUCCUCUGCACUCUCUUCAUUCAGAUCAUCUGCAGUGUUGAUUGGUCAUUUUUGGGUUCUGAUCCUGCUGUUAAUUGAUACUGAUUAGUGACUGUUAGAUCAAUGAGGGGAGGAAAUAAGCAUAUUAAUCACCACUCGAGAAUCAUUUUUCUUUGUCAUAUGCAAAACAGAGGCGAAUACAAGAGGAUAAUAAGGCCUUACGUCAGCCAAUUCCUCGUUGAGAUUAUUGUGUUAAAGAAGAAGCCUAAAAUACGAGAGGAUAAUAAGGCCUUACCUGAGCCAGUAACCAGAUGCAUUUUCUGUCACUUGCAACUAAGUGGUGUGAAAGAUGAGGAAGUAAGCAACAUAAAAGAUGACAUUGUUCAACGAACCUGUCUAAGCUCUAGACAUGUAUAAUCAUUGACUAUUACAAGAUUUAGAGUUUUUUUUUGGAGGAAGAGUUGUACUACUGACUUUAUUAGGUAUAAUUAAGAUAAAUAAAAGCUAUUUUUUGUU